rnacentral:rRNA from 1 species
UACGAAGGGUGCAAACGUUGCUCGGAAUCAUUGGGCGUAAAGCGCACGUAGGCGGCAUUCUAAGUCGGAUGUGAAAUCCCUCGGCUCAACCGAGGACGUGCAUCCGAAACUGGCAGGCUAGAGUACUAAAGAGGGUCGCGGAAUUCCCGGUGUAGAGGUGAAAUUCGUAGAUAUCGGGAGGAACACCGGUGGCGAAGGCGGCGACCUGGGUAGAUACUGACGCUGAGGUGCGAAAGCGUGGGGAGCAAACAGG